rnacentral:lncRNA from 1 species
UGUGAUACGAAAUAUUUAUACUCAUCUCGAGUUAAUGUAAGUCGUCCAUCGCGAUCGAUCUCAUUUGUCCGAUCGCAUCUAAUGUAGAAAUAGAUCCAGAUCGUACAUGCGUGGGGGAUCGAUCCUGGGUCGUCCAAUCGUGGGACAUACGGAUCGUCAACGUGGCCUCCCGCGUGGCGCCAACAUCAGUGCGCCUGGCCACGCAAUUUGUCGAAUCUGCUAACUGGGCGGUUCUACGUAGCUAAACUUUUUCUAUUUGUACUUUGAUCUUCUAUUUUCAAUUUGUUUUU